GACGAACGCUGGCGGCGUGCCUAAUACAUGCAAGUCGAACGCUUUUUCUUUCACCGGAGCUUGUUCCACCGAAAGAAAAAGAGUGGCGAACGGGUGAGUAACACGUGGGUAACCUGCCCAUCAGAAGGGGAUAACACUUGGAAACAGGUGCUAAUACCGUAUAACAAUUGAAACCGCAUGGUUUCGAUUUGAAAGGCGCUUUUGCGUCACUGAUGGAUGGACCCGCGGUGCAUUAGCUAGUUGGUGAGGUAACGGCUCACCAAGGCAACGAUGCAUAGCCGACCUGAGAGGGUGAUCGGCCACAUUGGGACUGAGACACGGCCCAAACUCCUACGGGAGGCAGCAGUAGGGAAUCUUCGGCAAUGGACGAAAGUCUGACCGAGCAACGCCGCGUGAGUGAAGAAGGUUUUCGGAUCGUAAAACUCUGUUGUUAGAGAAGAACAAGGAUGAGAGUAAAAUGUUCAUCCCUUGACGGUAUCUAACCAGAAAGCCACGGCUAACUACGUGCCAGCCGCCGCAGUAA
rnacentral:rRNA from 1 species